rnacentral:rRNA from 1 species
AGCGGCGGACGGGUGAGUAACGCGUGGGUAACCUGCCUCAUACAGGGGGAUAACAGUUGGAAACGGCUGCUAAUACCGCAUAAGCGCACAGUACCGCAUGGUACGGUGUGAAAAACUCCGGUGGUAUGAGAUGGACCCGCGUCUGAUUAGGUAGUUGGUGGGGUAACGGCCUACCAAGCCGACGAUCAGUAGCCGGCCUGAGAGGGCGACCGGCCACAUUGGGACUGAGACACGGCCCAA